rnacentral:snRNA from 1 species
AGCUUUGCGCAGUGGCAGUAUCGUAGCCAAUGAGGUUUAUCCCAGGCGCGAUUAUUGCUAAUUGAAAACUUUUCAUUCAAGUGUUUUUGCAUAGAGCAAUAGUUU